CCUACGGGGGGCUGCAGUGAGGAAUAUUGGUCAAUGGCCGGAAGGCUGAACCAGCCAUGCCGCGUGAAGGUCAGUGCCCUAUGGGCGUUAAACUUCUUUUGUGCGGGAGCAAUAAUGGUCACGUGUGGCCAGACGAGAGUACCGUACGAAUAAGCAUCGGCUAACUCCGUGCCAGCAGCCGCGGUAAUACGGGGGAUGCAAGCGUUAGCCGGAUUUAUUGGGUUUAAAGGGUGCGUAGGCUGGGAGGUAAGUCAGCGGUGAAAUGCCCCCGCUCAACGGGGUGAAGUGCCAUUGAUACUGCCUUGCUUGAAUGCGGAUGACGUGGGAGGAAUGUGUGGUGUAGCGGUGAAAUGCAUAGAUAUCACACAGAACACCGAUUGCGAAGGCAUCUCACGAAUCCGCGAUUGACGCUGAUGCACGAAAGCGUGGGUAUCAAACAGGAUUAGAUACCCCUGUAGUC
rnacentral:rRNA from 1 species